UUUACUGUAACAAUAAAUAGUUUAUGUAAAAAAUGCUUUUCAUGGGAAGAGCUCCAUGGAGGCAUUUACUAAAGUAAUACGUGUACUGCUGCCUACCUGGGCAGCCUAAAGGCAUGCAUUCUGUUUCUUGCCAUACUCUCAUACAGUAGAAAAGAGCAAGGUACAUGUGGCUCAGGGCAGCUCCAAAAGGAGAUCUGAAGACUUCAAGGAGGAGUAUUUGAAGACUCAUCAAAGGGAACCAUCAAAUGCACAAAUGUGCAACUGCACCAUGGAGCAUUAUUGCUAUAACUUCAAAUGGUUCUGAACAUAUAAAAAAUAAG
rnacentral:lncRNA from 1 species